AAGAGUUGGUGCUGCGGUUGCGGGCUAAAGGCUUAGCUUCGCUAAUCUUUAGCCUGAGGAAAGUCCGGGCUCCUGAAAGGUCAGGCUUGCUGGGUAACGCCCAGUGCGGGUGACCGUGAGGAUAGUGCCACAGAAACAUACCGCCGAUGGGCAAAGGUACCGCUGUUCUACAGAGGUGCCUCUUGCCACAGGUAAGGGUGCAAAGGUGCGGUAAGAGCGCACCAGCAGCAUCGAGAGGUGCUGGCUCGGUAAACCCCGGCCAGGAGCAAGGUCGCAGGGGCAAUUGGUUGACCUUUUUCCAGCCCCGUUUUUGGUGUACCGCUAGAGGCAGUUGGUAACAGCUGUCCCAGAUAGAUAACCGCCCGUUGAUGGUGACAUCAGCGAGAACAGAACCCGGCUUACGGCCAACUCUUUCCU
rnacentral:RNase_P_RNA from 1 species